rnacentral:rRNA from 1 species
CCUACGGGAGGCAGCAGUCGAGAAUCAUUCACAAUGGGGGAAACUCUGAUGGUGCGACGCCGCGUGGGGGAAUGAAGGUCUUCGGAUUGUAAACCCCUGUCAUGUGGGAGCAAAUUAAAAAGAUAGUACCACAAGAGGAAGAGACGGCUAACUCUGUGCCAGCAGCCGCGGUAAUACAGAGGUCUCAAGCGUUGUUCGGAAUCACCGGGCGUAAAGCGUGCGUAGGCUGUUUCGUAAGUCGUGUGUGAAAGGCGCGGGCUCAACCCGCGGACGGCACAUGAUACUGCGAGACUAGAGUAAUGGAGGGGGAACCGGAAUUCUCGGUGUAGCAGUGAAAUGCGUAGAUAUCGAGAGGAACACUCGUGGCGAAGGCGGGUUCCUGGACAUUAACUGACGCUGAGGCACGAAGGCCAGGGGAGCGAAAGGGAUUAGAUACCCCUGUAGUC